CAAUAGCGUAUAUUAAAGUUGUUGCAGUUAAAAAGCUCGUAGUUGAAUUUCUGGCGGGCGCGCCGGUCUUCCAAGUGUUGUACUGGGCGCAGUCCGCCAUCCUUGUGGAGAGGGCUCGCAUUGAGUUGCGUGUCGGAUCUGCAUCAUUUACUGUGAAAAAAUUAGAGUGUUUAAAGCAGGCUGUCGCUUGAAUACAUUAGCACGGAAUAAUAAGAUAGGACUUCGGUCUAUUUUGUUGGUUGCGAACCGAGGUAAUGAUUAAUAGGGAUAGUUGGGGGUAUUCAUAUUUAAUUGUCAGAGGUGAAAUUCUUGGAUUUAUGAAAGAUGAACAACUGCGAAAGCAUUUACCAAGGAUGUUUUCAUUAA
rnacentral:rRNA from 1 species